ensembl:lncRNA
CAGAAAUCAUUCACCAAGAAAAUGGAGCAGAGCGAUUAGAUUUCUGAUGGACUUGGAGCUGCUCAGCCAGCUGUGGACCCCAACCCCUCUCACAACACUUUCAUGUUAGAGAAAUCUCUUUCUUGUUUAAACUACUCGUUUAUUUGAGGUUCGAUGUAUUAAGUGUUUUUUUUUUUAAUGGACCAUGCUUUUGGUGUCAAAUCUUUGCCUAACUUUAGCCCUCAAAAUAUUUUUCUAUAAGUUUUAAGAUUUAUGUUUUAUAUUUGUUCACGAUCCUUUUUGAGUCCAUUUUUGCCUAAGGUGUUGAGGUUCAGGUUGAGGUUCUUUUUUUUUUUUUUUUUGGACAAUUUUUUUUCUCAGUUGCUCCAGGACAAUUUGUUGAAAAGUGUAUCAUCCCUUCAUUGAAUUGUUUUUACACCGUUGUUGAAAAUCAUUUGGACAUUUUGUGUGGGUCCUCUCUGCUGGUUUACAGACCUAAGUGUCUAUCUCUCCAUUAAUACCGCACUGAUAAAUAGUAGACGUCAGUUCCAGGAGUUUUAUUGAAAUAUUUCUUGGGAUUUUCUACAUCAACAUUCAUAUCAACUUCAAAUAACAGAUUUAUCUCUUCCUUUUCGAUCUGCUCUCUAUUCAAAAUUAACUCAGC